UGAUGAUGAUGAUGAUGAUGAUGAUGAUGAUGAUGAUGAUGAUGAUGAUAAUGAUGACGAACAUUAUCAUCAUUAUCACCACCACCACCACAAACG
rnacentral:pre_miRNA from 1 species